CGCCUGUUUAUCAAAAACAUGUCUUUUUGUUAAUUAUUUAAGGUUUGGCCUGCUCCAUGAUUAAUUAAAUAGCCGCAGUAUUUUGACUGUGCAAAGGUAGCAUAAUCAUUAGUUUUUUAAUUGAAAGCUGGAAUGAAUGGUCGGAUGAGGAAGGUUCUGUCUCACUCUAAUUUUACUUGAAUUUUAUUUCUAAGUUAAAAAGCUUAGAUUUUAUAAAAAGACGAGAAGACCCUAUAGAGUUUAAUAUGCUAGAGUUUUAAUUUUUAUAGGAUUAAAUUAUAAUUGAUUUUCUGCUUAUUUUGUUGGGGUGACAUAAGAAUUGGAAAAACUUCUUUUGAUUUGAACAUUGAUUUAUGAGAGAAUGAUCCUGAGUUUUGGAUUAAAAGAAUAAAUUACCUUAGGGAUAACAGCGUAAUCUUUUUGGAGAGUUCUUAUCGAUAAAAGGGAUUGCGACCUCGAUGUUGGAUUAAAAUUAAGUUCUGGUGCAGAAGCUAGGAUUUUG
rnacentral:rRNA from 1 species